GAUGAACGCUGGCGGCGUGCCUAAUACAUGCAAGUCGAGCGAACGGACGAGAAGCUUGCUUCUCUGAUGUUAGCGGCGGACGGGUGAGUAACACGUGGAUAACCUACCUAUAAGACUGGGAUAACUUCGGGAAACCGGAGCUAAUACCGGAUAAUAUUUUGAACCGCAUGGUUCAAUAGUGAAAGACGGUCUUGCUGUCACUUAUAGAUGGAUCCGCGCUGCAUUAGCUAGUUGGUAAGGUAACGGCUUACCAAGGCAACGAUGCAUAGCCGACCUGAGAGGUGGAUCGCCCAAAUGGAACCUGAGACACGGCCCGGAUCCUUACGGAAGCCAGCAUAAGGAAUCCUUCCGCAAGGGCCGAAACCCGGACGGAGCACCGCGGGGGGGUUGUGGAAGUCCUUCGAAUGGUAAAACGCUUUAAUAAGGGAAAAACAAAUGUGAAAGUAACAGGCAACAUCUGAACGGUACCAAUUCAGAAACCAACGCCAAACUACGG
rnacentral:rRNA from 1 species